ensembl:lncRNA
GAGGAACAGGAGCAGCCUGGCCGGGUUCCGAGCUCUCUAAGGAAAGGCAGGACGGGGGCGGGGAGCGGACCACAGGCCUUGGCUCCGGACCUGCGUUGAGUGCCUCUCUCUGCCAUCCCCAGCCGUGGGACUCACCUGCCUCGUGCCUUAGUCUCCUCUCUAAGGGGGAAGAACAGAACAUCCUAGUUCACAGAUGUCCAGGGAGGAGGAAAGCCGUCCUGUCGUUAGCCCGUCGUGGAGCGGUCAAGUUCCCCAGGCCUAUCGAAUUGCCAGCGAUCUUCCUACCAUCACUGGUCCAGACGCAGCUUGGACUUCAGCCCCUGCCCACCCCACCUGGGCUUGGCAGACCUGGACCGGUUUGGAACAGAGCUCAUGGCUGAGGGUGAAGUCACACCUGGAACGGUUGUAAGACCGGGCACCUCCUCUUUGUGACUCUCCCAGGCUGCAUGGCGGGUGGUGGGUAGCUGGCAGGGGAGAUGCCUUGGCACCGCUGUACUCUUGUGUCUGCGGCCAGCGGGGCCUUUGAUGCCCUCCAGGGCCGCCUGCCCGGCCGAGUGCAUUUGUGGAAGACAAAAGCUGCAAAAAAAAGCAGCACAAAUAACUUUAAAAUGACUUAGAGACUGCCAGGGAGCUUAUCAACCUGUUUCCUGGGUUUUGUUGUUGGAGUGGGGAGGCCAGGGGAGCGAUUCUGGCCUGCACCUUGCACAGGCGCGAUGCGGCGUUAACCUCAAAGCUAGCGACCCCUCCCCUGCUCUGUGCUACGGCUCUCUCAUGUGUCAGAGGGGUUUAAUAAGACCAAACUCUGUGUUCUUGUGAGGAGUAGAGGCUGGGAGGAAAGAAGCUGCAGGGCAGAAAAGCAGAGCCCUCUUCUUCCCAGGGGUGCAGAGAGACACCAGUAUCCCUCAAAUUUCCCUCUAGGCCAGCCUCCCCCCAUAUCUAGGAUAGAACAUAACAGAAGAUUCCUCUUGUAACUCUGGGGACCUUUGGAAAAGGAGCUUCUGAAAUGUCCCUGUCUUGGGGGAAUGAGGCCCUUCAGCCAUUGAUUGACCACAGCAUGCAGACUGGGGCCUUGCCAGAUAUAUCUCCAGCCUGGAGGAUGGAAACUCAGUCAGGGCUCUGACUUCAAAAAUGGCCUCUAAGCAAGUGGAUCCUCCUUAUAGGUUUGGAGCUCUUUCUCCUCCUGCCCUGCCCUGCUUCACCCAGGGCAGAGCCCCAAGGAAUAAAAAAAUGCCAAAUUCAGUCUCUGACCUCCAACCCGGAGGCUGGUUCUUAAGAACACUGUUUUCUGCUCACUCUCCUUGGGCCCCCAUCCAUGCUGCUGUCCCAGGCCAAAGACACGGCUGAGGGUGAUGGCUGGGUGGCUGGAUUUGGAAGGCUGGGCAGCCAUCUGCUUUGCAGGCCCACCUCUGUGCCUCUGCUGAGCUGUGAGUCUGCACCUCUUUUGCCCCAACUUUGGCCUGAUAAAAGCAAAGUGCGGAGCCUUGAAUGGGGGAGAUAGAAACCAGAGACACCCCCUCUCUCCCCUCCCUGCCUCCUCUCUGCACUUACUCUGUGCCAAACAUCAACCCAGGUAUUUAUUUACUUUUUCAAGUGAACUAGAGGUUUAUAAAGAGGAUGCUCUUUCCCCUGCCAGAACGAGCCUUCUCUUCCUCCCAGAAAAACUCCUAUUUAUCCUACCAUACCCGGCUGCAGAGCCCCCUUCUCCACGAGGCUUUCCUGUCCUUUGGCUAGAGUUGCUGCCUCUCUGCUUAGGUCCACCAGGCCUCUAGGGCUCUGUUUUAGCCCAGGUGGUACUUCCUACACUGUUCUGGUUUAUCUUUGUGCAUGUCCACCUGGCCCUUUGAAAGGAGCAAUGACAACUCCUUUAUUUAACUCAGCAUCCCCAGUGCCACAGCGCCAAGCAC